UACGGGGGGAGCAAGCGUUGUUCGGAUUUACUGGGCGUAAAGGGCGCGUAGGCGGUCACGACAAGUCAGUUGUGAAAUCUCCGGGCUUAACUCGGAACGGUCAACUGAUACUGUCGGACUAGAGUGCAGAAGGGGCAACUGGAAUUCUCGGUGUAGCGGUGAAAUGCGUAGAUAUCGAGAGGAACACCCGUGGCGAAGGCGGCUCUCUGGGACGGUACUGACGCUGAGACGCGAAAGCGUGGGGAGCGAACAGG
rnacentral:rRNA from 1 species